GAUGAACGCUGGCGGCGUGCUUAACACAUGCAAGUCGAACGAUGAAGCCUCACUUGUGGGGUGGAUUAGUGGCGAACGGGUGAGUAACACGUGAGCAACCUGCCCUGGACUCUGGGAUAAGCGCUGGAAACGGUGUCUGAUACUGGAUAUGAGCUCUCAUCGCAUGGUGGGGGUUGGAAAGAUUUUUCGGUCUGGGAUGGGCUCGCGGCCUAUCAGCUUGUUGGUGAGGUAAUGGCUUACCAAGGCGUCGACGGGUAGCCGGCCUGAGAGGGUGACCGGCCACACUGGGACUGAGACACGGCCCAGACUCCUACGGGAGGCAGCAGUGGGGAAUAUUGCACAAUGGGCGGAAGCCUGAUGCAGCAACGCCGCGUGGGGGAUGACGGCCUUCGGGUUGUAAACCUCUUUUAGCAAGGAAGAAGCUUUUUGUGACGGUACUUGCAGAAAAAGCGCCGGCUAACUACGUGCCAGCAGCCGCCGCAGUAA
rnacentral:rRNA from 1 species